rnacentral:rRNA from 1 species
AGUGAACGCUGGCGGUAGGCCUAACACAUGCAAGUCGAACGGCAGCACAGUAAGAGCUUGCUCUUACGGGUGGCGAGUGGCGGACGGGUGAGGAAUACAUCGGAAUCUACUUUUUCGUGGGGGAUAACGUAGGGAAACUUACGCUAAUACCGCAUACGACCUACGGGUGAAAGCAGGGGAUCUUCGGACCUUGCGCGAUUGAAUGAGCCGAUGUCGGAUUAGCUAGUUGGCGGGGUAAAGGCCCACCAAGGCGACGAUCCGUAGCUGGUCUGAGAGGAUGAUCAGCCACACUGGAACUGAGACACGGUCCAGACUCCUAGGGGAGGAAGCAGUGGGGAAUAUUGGACAAUGGGGGCUGGCCUGAUCCAGCCAUACCGGGUGGGGGAAGAAGGCCUUGGGGUUGUAAAGCCCUUUUGUUGGGAAAGAAAAGCAGCAGGUUAAUACCCCGCUGUUCUGACGGUACCCAAAGAAUAAGCACCGGCUAACUUCGUG